UUUAAUUAUGACCCUAUCUAUGAUCAACAUGGUUUGACAGCUAAGUUACUUCUUCUUUCUUCCUUGCUUUCCUUUUUUACCCUUCACAAAAUCCUGCAUCCAAUGUGGCUAUUUGACAUUCCUUUCCUUCCUGAUUUAAUUUAUCCAUCCUGCCAAUAGGGAUCAUCCAAUAUCUCCCCUUCCAUUGUUCCGUCUUGUAUUUCUUCAUGUUCCACUCCUGCUUCAACUAUUAUUCAUUUCCUUUGCACAUCAUCAUGAUGCUAGAUCUAUGAGUUUUUCACUUGGAUAUUGAAAUGGUUCUGCUACUUCCUGCUGUAUAUAUAAGCUCACCAUUUGCAUCACAAGAGCCAG
rnacentral:lncRNA from 1 species